rnacentral:rRNA from 1 species
UACGUAGGGUCCGAGCGUUGUCCGGAGUUACUGGGCGUAAAGCGCGCGCAGGCGGCUUCAUAAGUCUGGCGUGAAAGCCCCCGGCUCAACCGGGGAGGGUCGUCGGAGACUGUGGAGCUUGAGGGCGGUAGGGGCUGGUGGAAUUCCCGGUGUAGUGGUGAAAUGCGUAGAGAUCGGGAGGAACACCUGUGGCGAAGGCGGCCAGCUGGGCCGUCCCUGACGCUGAGGCGCGAAGGCGUGGGGAGCGAACGGG